rnacentral:rRNA from 1 species
GUUUGAUCCUGGCUCAGGAUGAACGCUGGCGGCAUGCCUAAUACAUGCAAGUCGAACGAGAGGAAGGAAAGCUUGCUUUUCUGAAUCUAGUGGCGAACGGGUGAGUAACACGUAGGUAACCUGCCCAUGUGCCCGGGAUAACUUCUGGAAACGGAUGCUAAAACCGGAUAGGUAGCAGACAAGCAUUUGACUGCUAUUAAAGUGGCUAUGGCCAUGAACAUGGAUGGACCUGCGGUGCAUUAGCUAGUUGGUGAGGUAACGGCCCACCAAGGCGACGAUGCAUAGCCGGCCUGAGAGGGCGGACGGCCACAUUGGGACUGAGACACGGCCCAAACUCCUACGGGAGGCAGCAGUAGGGAAUUUUCGUCAAUGGGGGGAACCCUGAACGAGCAAUGCCGCGUGAGUGAGGAAGGUCUUCGGAUCGUAAAGCUCUGUUGUAAGAGAAAAACGGCACUCAUAGGGAAUGAUGAGUGAGUGAUGGUAUCUUACCAGAAAGUCACGGCUAACUACGUGCCAGCAGCCGCGGUAAUACGUAGGUGGCGAGCGUUAUCCGGAAUGAUUGGGCGUAAAGGGUGCGUAGGUGGCAGAUCAAGUCUGGAGUAAAAGGUAUGGGCUCAACCCGUACUGGCUCUGGAAACUGAUCAGCUAGAGAACAGAAGAGGACGGCGGAACUCCAUGUGUAGCGGUAAAAUGCGUAGAUAUAUGGAAGAACACCGGUGGCGAAGGCGGCCGUCUGGUCUGGAUUCUGACACUGAAGCACGAAAGCGUGGGGAGCAAAUAGGAUUAGAUACCCUAGUAGUCCACGCCGUAAACGAUGAGAACUAGGUGUUGGGGGAAUAACUCAGUGCCGCAGUUAACGCAAUAAGUUCUCCGCCUGGGGAGUAUGCACGCAAGUGUGAAACUCAAAGGAAUUGACGGGGGCCCGCACAAGCGGUGGAGUAUGUGGUUUAAUUCGAAGCAACGCGAAGAACCUUACCAGGCCUUGACAUCCCUUGCAGAGAUAUAGAGAUAUAUCCGAGGUUAACAAGGAGACAGGUGGUGCAUGGUUGUCGUCAGCUCGUGUCGUGAGAUGUUGGGUUAAGUCCCGCAACGAGCGCAACCCUUGUGA